rnacentral:lncRNA from 1 species
AAAAGCAAUAAAAAGUGCUCUACUGCUCCAGGUCUUUUGGGCUUUAAGCGCAAAGCACAGUGAUGAAAAAAAUAAAAAUAUAUAUGUAAUGCGAGAACAAAGUAACAACUUCGUUCAUAGUGAUUUCCUUAAUAGUUAAUAUAUCUUUUUGCCAAUCAUAUUUAUUGUUUAGUACCGCAGAAUGAGCCUAUUUGAGUUGCAGAAAAUCCUAUAUAUUUUCCACUCCAAUUCACAUUUUCCCAUUAA